rnacentral:tRNA from 1 species
GCCUGGGUGGCUCAGUCGUUGAGUGUCUGGCUUGGGCUCAGGUCAUGAUCUCACAGUUUGUGGGUUCGAGCCCCGCGUCGGGCU